GAUGAAGAACGCAGCGAAAUGCGAUAAGUAGUGUGAAUUGCAGAAUUCAGUGAAUCAUCGAAUCUUUGAACGCACAUUGCACCUCUCGGUAUUCCGGGAGGUAUGCCUGUUCGAGUGUCAUUUGUACCCUCAAGCUCUGCUUGGUGUUGGGUGUUUGUUCCGCCUCUGUGUGUGAACUCGCCUCAAAACAAUUGGCAGCCGGCGUACUUGUUUCGGAGCGCAGCACAUUUUGCGAUCCAGAUCAACGUACAGCGGCAUCCAAGAAGCCUUAUUUAACGCUCUUGACCUCGGAUCAGGUAGGGAUACCCGCUGAACUUAAGCAUAUCAAUAAGCGGAGGA
rnacentral:misc_RNA from 1 species